rnacentral:rRNA from 1 species
UUGUCUUAUUUUAAAAUAUUUAAUUUAACUUUUAAGUGAAAAGGCUUAAAUUGCAUAAAGGGACGAUAAGACCCUAUAAAACUUAAUAUAAAGUAUUUUAUUUUUUAUAUUUGUUAGUUUAUUAGUGAAUAAUAUAUGGUAUAUUUUGCUGGGGCGGCAGAGAUACACACAGAACUGUCUUUUAUAAGAACAGAAGUAUUUGGUUUAAAUGAUCCUUUAUUUAGAGAUUUAAAGAUUAAGUUACUUUAGGGAUAACAGCGUAAUCUUUUUUGAGAGUUCUUAUCGAUAGAAGGGAUUGCGACCUCGAUGUUGAAUUAAAAGUUCUUUAUGGUGCAGCAUUUAUAAAAGAAGGUCUGUUCGACCUUUAAUUUUUUA